GAUGAACGCUGGCGGCGUGCCUAAUACAUGCAAGUCGAGCGCAGGAAGCUGACGGAACUCUUCGGAGGGAAGGCAGUGGAAUGAGCGGCGGACGGGUGAGUAACACGUAAGGAACCUGCCUCAAGGAUUGGGAUAACUCCGAGAAAUCGGAGCUAAUACCGGAUAGUUCAACGGACCGCAUGGUCCGCUGAUGAAAGGCGCUUCGGCGUCACCUUGAGAUGGCCUUGCGGUGCAUUAGCUAGUUGGUGGGGUAACGGCCCACCAAGGCGUCGAUGCAUAGCCGACCUGAGAGGGUGAUCGGCCACACUGGGACUGAGACACGGCCCAGACUCCUACGGGAGGCAGCAGUAGGGAAUCUUCCACAAUGGACGAAGGUCUGAUGGAGCAACGCCGCGUGAGUGAUGAAGGUUUUCGGAUCGUAAAACUCCGUUGUAAGGGAAGAACACGUACGAGAGGGAAUGCUCGUACCUUGACGGUACCUUACGAGAAAGCCACGGCUAACUACGUGCCAGCAGCCGCAGUAA
rnacentral:rRNA from 1 species